rnacentral:misc_RNA from 1 species
AACGCACAUUGCGCCCCUCGGUAUUCCGGGGGGCAUACCUGUUCGAGCGUCAUUACACCUCUCAAGCGUAGCUUGGUAUUGGGCCUCGCUCCCCCCCUCCGGGGGGGGGGCGUGCCUGAAAAGCAGUGGCGGUCCGGCGUGGCCUUGAACGUAGUAAUUUUUCUCCCGUUCUGAAGGUUCCGCGCCGCGGCUGGCCAGGAAACCCACACUUUUUCAAUGAUUGACCUCGGAUCAGGUAGGGAUACCCGCUGAACUUAA